UUUGAUAUCUUUGUUACAGUUGGAACUAAAUCAGAUUUAGUAAAGUUGGUAACAACUUAAUUACUAAAGGAAAACAGAUACCAUGGGGUUCCAUUUGUGUCCUAUAUAAACUCAUGUUUUUUAUCAUUCUCUCAUCCGUCAGUUCUCAAGUUGCAGCUAUACAUGAAGGGAGCUCACAACGAUGACGAUGAAGAUGAAGAUGUUGGAAUUCAACUCCAACGACAUGAAUCCUGUAGAAGGGUUUAUCCAAAUUGAAUCAAUGAGUCACCAAAUUGUUAUGGAGCCCCCGUGCUUGUGUGGGCUCUUUUUUGCACAGCACUUUCUGCCAAAGACCAUGAUCCAUAGUCACAUAGACAUGACUGACACGGACUUAGCUGGAUCAUGACAAGUGUUGAAAGAAAGUGGGUCUUUUAGGGUAAUUUUUGGGGAUGCCAUUGGUGAAAAAUACAACUGGAAAAUAUCUUGUAUCUCUAUUUUUGUGGUUGUCUCACAACCUUUAUGUACCUAAAAAGGGAUUCUAUGUACAAGUAGUGAUUACAUGCUGA